rnacentral:rRNA from 1 species
UACGUAGGGUGCAGGCGUUAAUCGGAAUUACUGGGCGUAAAGCGUACGCAGGCGGUUUGCUAAGACAGGUGUGAAAUCCCCGGGCUUAACCUGGGAACUGCGCUUGUUACUGGCAAGCUAGAGUGUGGCAGAGGGGGGUAGAAUUCCAGGUGUAGCAGUGAAAUGCGUAGAUAUCUGGAGGAAUACCGAUGGCGAAGGCAGCCCCCUGGGUUAACACUGACGCUCAUGUACGAAGGCGUGGGGAGCAAACAGG